rnacentral:rRNA from 1 species
AGAGUUUGAUCCUGGCUCAGGAUGAACGCUAGCUACAGGCUUAACACAUGCAAGUCGAGGGGAAACGACAUCGAAAGCUUGCUUUUGAUGGGCGUCGACCGGCGCACGGGUGAGUAACGCGUAUCCAACCUGCCCACCACUUGGGGAUAACCUUGCGAAAGUAAGACUAAUACCCAAUGACGUCUCUAGAAGACAUCUGAAAGAGAUUAAAGAUUUAUCGGUGAUGGAUGGGGAUGCGUCUGAUUAGCUUGGUUGGCGGGGUAACGGCCACCAAGGGCGACGAUCAGUAGGGGUUCUGAGAGGAAGGUCCCCCANAUUGGAACUCGAGACACGGUCCAAACUCCUACGGGAGGCA